rnacentral:rRNA from 1 species
GACGAACGCUGGCGGCGUGCUUAACACAUGCAAGUCGAACGGAAAGGCCUUUUCGGAGGUACUCGAGUGGCGAACGGGUGAGUAACACGUGGGUGAUCUGCCCUGCACUCUGGGAUAAGCCUGGGAAACUGGGUCUAAUACCGGAUAGGACCGCACUUUAGUGUGUGUGGUGGAAAGUUUUUUCGGUGUAGGAUGAGCCCGCGGCCUAUCAGCUUGUUGGUGGGGUAAUGGCCUACCAAGGCGGCGACGGGUAGCCGGACUGAGAGGUUGGUCGGCCACAUUGGGACUGAGAUACGGCCCAGACUCCUACGGGAGGCAGCAGUGGGGAAUAUUGCACAAUGGGCGCAAGCCUGAUGCAGCGACGCCGCGUGGGGGAUGACGGCCUUCGGGUUGUAACUCCUUUCGCCAGGGACGAAGCGUUUUGUGACGGUACCUGGAGAAGAAGCACCGGCUAACUACGUG